CUACCCUUGACAUGUACCGAACCCUGGUGAGAGCUAGGGGUGCCCGAAAGGGAGCGGUAACACAGGUGCUGCAUGGCUGUCGUCAGCUCGUGUCGUGAGAUGUUGGGUUAAGUCCCGCAACGAGCGCAACCCUUGUCACUAGUUGCCACUUUAAUCGGGGCACUCUAGUGAGACUGCCGGUGACAAACCGGAGGAAGGUGGGGAUGACGUCAAGUCCUCAUGGCCCUUAUGGGUAGGGCUUCACACGUCAUACAAUGGCGCAUACAGAGGGUAGCCAACCCGCGAGGGGGAGCCAAUCUCAGAAAGUGCGUCGUAGUCCGGAUUGCAGUCUGCAACUCGACUGCAUGAAGUCGGAAUCGCUAGUAAUCGCGGAUCAGCAAUGUCGCGGUGAAUACGUUCCC
rnacentral:rRNA from 1 species